rnacentral:rRNA from 1 species
AGCAGCCGCGGUAAUUCCAGCUCCAAUAGCGUAUAUUAAAGUUGUUGCAGUUAAAAAGCUCGUAGUUGAACCUCGGGAUCAAUUGAUUGGUCAUGCCAUUGGUGUGUACUGGUCAUAUUGGUUCUCACCUUCUAAGGAACCUUAAUGUCAUUAAUUUGAUGUUUUGGGGAAUUAGGACUGUUACCUUGAAAAAAUUAGAGUGUUUAAAGCAGGCUAACGCUUGAAUACAUUAGCAUGGAAUAAUGAAAUAGGACGUUUGACCCUAUUUUGUUGGUUUCUAGGAUCGACGUAAUGAUUAAUAGGGAUAGUUGGGGGCAUUAGUAUUCAAUUGUCAGAGGUGAAAUUCUUGGAUUUAUUGAAGACUAACUACUGCGAAAGCAUUUGCCAAGGAUGUUUUCAUUAAUCAAGAACGAAAGUUAGGGGAUCGAAGACGAUCAGAUACCGUCGUAGUCUUAACCAUAAACUAUGCCGACUAGGGAUCGGAUGAUGUUAAUUUUUUAAUGACUC